rnacentral:rRNA from 1 species
GACAGAGGGUGCAAACGUUGUUCGGAAUACUGGGCGUAAAGCGCAUGUAGGCGGUUCGUAAAGUCAGAUGUGAAAGCCCUGGGCUUAACCCAGGAAGUGCAUUUGAAACUCACGAACUUGAGUCCCGGAGAGGAAGGCGGAAUUCUCGGUGUAGAGGUGAAAUUCGUAGAUAUCGAGAGGAACAUCGGUGGCGAAGGCGG